rnacentral:lncRNA from 1 species
GACACUAUGGCAGGCCAACUUACUAGCUUUCAAGUAAGGUAACAUCUCAGACCAUCAUAGGUUUUGACAGGGGAAACUCUGAAGGACCACAGGAGUUGGAGGUUCCACGUAUCUCUAAGUAGUAACAUACGAUGGGUCCAAAACAGAAGAAAGAGAACUCAAGAUUCCCGAGCCACAGAGCUGUUGAUUGGAGGCUGACUCAGAGAAACCCUGGAUUCAGUGACAUACAGAGACAACAGCUGUAUUUCCCCUUCCACCUGCAUCCCUGAAGUUCCUCCCACCUGAAAACUUCACCUGACCCAAGAAAGCAAAGGAAAAAACCCGGAGAGCCAGCUCAUAGUCUGGUUCACUGUUUAACAGCCAGAAGCCAGAGCCUGCGUACUAGAAGUGGAUGCCCAGGAAGUACUUGUGAGCUGACUAAGAAUGUAAGAACGCCACCCACUUCAUUCAGGAAAGUGAGGCAGGAUUCCAUGGAGUAUGAAUGACUGCACAUGGAACAAGCAGGUUAUCAUUUAUAUUCAGCAAGGGACCUCCAUGAACAGGACAUUUGGGGAGCUGCUAUCAAACAUCAGAACUUCUGACACUGUGCACACAGUCUUAUAUUGUGCCUUGUCUGUUGUGAUGUCUCACUACAGUAAUGAUUAAGAUGAUGAGCACUUAUGCGUUGAUAUUGCAAUAUGUCUGCGUAAGAACUAUCGCUAAGGCAGGUUAUAUUAUUACCCUCAGUGUAUAGGUAAGGAGGUUAGACUGAUAACUUACCCAGUGUCACAUAGGUAGUAAUGGCCAAACUAGAGUUGGAACCUGUCUGCCUACUCUCCAAGCUCAGGAUUGACUUGAGCACAAGGGUAAGUAUCUCACAUGCUUUGUAAAGUUCAGGUUGAUAACAAAAUAUGUGAAAGGCAGGGGUAUAGACAACAGGGGGCAUAUGAAAUACGGGAAGGGCCUAAAGAAAUUCAAGUCUAUUAUUUUUAAUCCACUGCUGUCAAAUGACAAAUGAUUACUGGCUUUUCUUCAGCUUAUGAUUCCUGUAUUUGAAUCCUGAAAAACUUACAUUUCAUAUAUUACCAACUAUUAUGGGGAAAAC